GCGGGUGUAGCUCAGUGGUAGAGCGCAACCUUGCCAAGGUUGAUGUCGCGCGUUCGAAUCGCGUCUCCCGCU
rnacentral:tRNA from 3 species